GUUAUGCUAAGACGAUAACACACUGGCUAGUUUUUACUUUUUAAAAAUGCUCUGCAUAAAACAAUAAGUGUGGCUGCCUUGUUCCAUUUUCCUCUCUCUUUUCUAGCAAGGCUCCUGUGCUGCUGCUGUUGUUGCGCGUCUGUGCAUGAUUUUCUUGGGUUGCAAAAAUAUGUGCAUUGACUCUAUUUUCAGGUCGUAAAGUCUCUUCUACAAAUCAUUAAUAUUGUGCACAGUAGAAGGCUGAGGGGCAUCGUAGGAAGAAAAUUAAACAAGGGAGCUUGCCACCCACUCCCUGCACACCUUAAUGUGGAUCAUAACCUGAUGAAUUUCUACCUGGCAUAUGCCAGUUAAAGGCACAGCAUCCCUGCCAGCAAAGAAAGUGGCAACUUUAUCAGUUUGAAAGCAUACUCCCCUGUCAGCAAAACUGGUGCGAAAAAGGAUAAUCUGAACGACUUUCCUUUUUGGGGAGAAGGGAGAACUUAAUACCAGCCACCCUUGUAACAACUCAACAGCUUGGUGCAACAGCCUGCAGCUUCAGCUCCAGGCAGCUGGGGAAUAGACACUCUCACUCUUUCUCAGCAUCCCAUCGCUUGUACUUAAACAUCUUUAUUAAUGGCUUGAAGGAGAUCUUCCAAUUUCUCCCACUCUCUUCGAAGUGACCAGUGCAAUUUCAAAAGCUCUCUGAUUUUCUCCAGGCUUUAAAAGAAAAACAACUCAACGCUUGCUCUCA